UGAUGGUGAUAAGGACAAUUUCUGAGCAUGCAUUUAAAUCUCUCCCAAGCUUGGUAGAGAUUUUCUCUAUCUUUAUAUUUGAAACUUAAGAUCUCACUCCUCAAUUG
rfam:Capsicum annuum cultivar Zunla-1 chromosome 12, whole genome shotgun sequence